UUGCUCCUUUAGAGUUUGAUUUUUUGUCUACAUUCUUGUCUAAUAAACCAGAUCAAUUUGUGUUUUCAAUUGAACGCAUGGUUUACACUCUACACACAAACUUUUCUAACAUGUUCAAACCAGCCAAAACCAUCAUAAAAAAUCCUCAACUCAACAAUUUGAUUUUCUCACUCACAAGUUAAAGACUGAGUGUAAUGUUUUUGUAGAUCUGAUUCUUGAUCAGAAUGCCACGUCAAAAAGACUUUGCGUGGUCACAUUGCACAACAAUUCCUGGUAGCACGAAGGUCAAGUGCAAUUGGUGUUUACAAGAUAUUAGUGGUGGAAUUUAUCGUUUCAAAUGGCAUUUGUCCAAAGAACAAGAAAAUAACACUAAGGUAUGCAAAGUAUGCCUUGCAGAUGUUGCGUAUUAGGCAAAGCAAUCUCUUGACGGGAUUGCUGAGAGUAAGGCCAAAAAGGCAAGAAUUGGGGUUGAACUAGGUUCUAGUUCUACAGAUCCCAGGAGCAACUGUUUGGGUGAAGAAGAUGGCGAAGAUGGGAGUUUCAGGGAAUGUGGGUCAACACCUAAUUCUAUAGCACGUGGACUAAACACAAGUGGAGGAAACAUUAAUACUUUCUUCCAACCUCGUACUACACUAGGAUCACAAACCAUUACACUAGGAUCACAAACCACUUUGGAGAGUAUAGGAUGUAGGAAAACUGUCACCUCCUCUCACAUGGCAUCCAUGCUUCUAGAAAUCUAUAUUGGCAACCCAUGGUAGAUGCUAUUGUAGCUAUAGGACUUGGGUUUCAAGCCCCAUCUUAUGAGUCAUUGAGGGUUGGUAUGUUGAAAGAUGCAGUAGAGGAUGUUCAAGAUGUUGUUAAACAACAUCGGUUACAGUGGGCUAGAACUGGUUGCAGCAUCAUGUUAGAUGGCUAGACAGAUAGAAGGAACCGAACUCUCAUUAACUUCCUUGUCUCUUUUGAGAUUGGCACUGUUUUUUUGAAAUUUGUGGAUGCAUCUAAUAUGAUGAAAUCCACAAAUGCAUUGUUUGAGAUGUAUGACGUGGUAGUUACGGAUGUAGGGCUACAAAAUGUGGUUUAAUUUAUCAUAGACAAUGCUGGUGCUUGUGUUGCUGCAGGGAGACUUCUGACAAAUAAAUACUUGUGUGUCGUGCACACACUCCCUGUCGUUGACAGGGUCCCCCCCCCCUUUCUUUGUUUUCUCAUCUCGUCCUCGAUCAGGUCCUAAGUAGGAAGUUCUGAUAAUUCCUAGAGAGAUGAUUGCAGAAGUUAAGAGUUUGAAUGUUGAGAAGAUGAUCCAACAUGAGUCCUAGAUAGUGGAGGAUUUGCAUCUUGAAAAUGAGAAGCAAGAUGUUGCAGUUAAGUCCAAUUGUCAAAAUAACAAUAGGUUUGAGUUGAUAAAGAUUGGCUACCUAAGUAGGAAGAUACCCCAGGUGAAAUCAUGAACAUUGUUAAGUUGACGCCGCUCAUGGACAAGUUUCAAGCUUGAAGCCAGUCAAGAUAAGUGAACAGGCCAAGGUGAAAUCCAAAUCGACCUCCAUGGCCAAAGUGAGGAAAUAUCAUUAAAAUCGGCCUCUAAGACUAAACUGCAAGCUCAAAACUUUAAAAUCAGCCUAAAAGGCCAGAUCGCAAACUCAAAAGUUCAAAUUGACUUUGUAAGACGAAAUGCAAGCAAAGGUUUGAAAAUUGGCAUAAUAGGUCGAAAUGUGAGCCAAAGAUGUGAUGAAAAGAGAAAAUCGCGAAAAAGAGGCGUUUGAGCCGAAAUUAGAAAGCAAAACUCAUUAAAACACAAAUCUCACAUUGGGCCCAUUUUGCCCGAAAUAAUUUAAGUAGGAGAAUGCAACGUAAAAUUAAGGCUCACAAAAUCGGCUUAAAGUGCCGAAAUGCUAAGUUCCCGAGUUUGCAUUUUAGGCUUUAUAGCCCGAAAGGAGAAAAGCGUUUAAGUUCGCAUUGCCUCCCAUUGCUCGAAAAUCUCAAGUCUUGCAUCUUACCCAUUUAUGCAAAAAUGCAAACAAAAGUUCACAAAACCGGCUAAUGAGCCGAAAAUGAAAGAAGAGUUAUUUAAGUUAAAAUUACGAAAAGUGGAAAAUGUUUCAAACUCACAAAGUCUUCUCAUCACUCGAAAUGGCCCAUAAAAGUUAAAUCAUGCGAACAAGCCCAAAAUACUGAAAAUUUCAAUGAAGAUUAAAUCGCGCAAAGUUGGUUUUUUGACUAAAAACGUCACUAUUCGCAAAUAAGCCUUCUAAGCCAAAAAGUUAAUAAGUGAAAAAUCUCGCCAAAUAACAUUCCUGUGCCCAAAAAUCUCAUUGAGUGUCGAUAGCUUACAACUCACAAUCGGCCUCUAAACCGAAAUUAACAAGAAAGGAGAAAAUCGCGUGAGAAAGUGAAAAGGGAGAACAAAUUUCAAAGUCGCCAUUGAACCUCAUUCCGCUGAAAUCGUUUACAGAGGAAAAUCACGCAGAGAACUCUAGGCCAAAAUCGGUUAGAGUGGGAGGUCGCCCAAGAUCAUUCUUUAGAGCCGAAAAUUGUUAGGAGAAACCAGAAUCACAUCAUAAAUCUCAUUUGAACCGAAAACAAGUUUAGAAUCGUGCAAUAUAGGAUGAAUGCUCCGAAAAUCUUCAAAAUUGCAAAAUCGCACAAGGAGAAUAAGCCGAAAACGAUCAUUCAACUUCCCAACCACACAAUCGAGCGUUGUGAAUCGAAAAAGGUGAGGAAAAUAGAAAAGGUUCAAAGUCGUGCAACAUAUGUUCAUUGAGAGGUCGAAAUCAUUCAAAAGCUUAAACAUACCAAGGGUCUUCUUUGUCACCGAUUUCAUUGAAAGCUAGGGCCGCGCAAGGAGAAUAUAAGUCGCCUAAAACAUCAGUUUGCCCGAAUUGCUUAAAGGAAGGACGAUAUCAUUUCCGCAAACUUCAAACAAAGGAGGCUAUCUCCUCUCAACGCUGGUUCUCCUCAACAGUUGUAUUCAGCAAAGUUCCUUCUCACUAUUGUCAGGUAAGUCAAAAUUUAUCUUCCCCAUAGUUAAAUUUUGAAGGAAUCAUUUUUUUUGUCUUGUUUGCCUGGGGUUAAUAUGUAACUUCAUAUAAAAAAGGAGAAAAUUUUAAAGAUUGCAACCCAAGUAAACAUCCAAGAAUAGUACUCAAUUAUCAAAAUUCGACCUCUAGCCGAAAUAUGAGACUUGGGCAAAAUUUAGGAAUUCUGGUCCAAAGUACAAAAUACAUAAACUACUCUUUCUGAAACUGCAAAUGCAGAAUCAUCUUCGAAACGAUCAACAUUUUACAAAACUCAAAACUCAAAACACUGAAUUGUGCAAUCCAAUAACGUUUGCAACUUUCCACCAUUAGCAAUCAUGAGCAACAUUUCAAAAAUCUACUCCAAAACAAUAGCUAAUCAAACCAAUCGGCUGAUUUUCAUCUUUAAAUUGCACUCAUUCCCCAAGCACAAAAUUUAAAUUCUUUAAAAAGCCUGGUUCAAAACGCUUUCAAAUUUCAAAAAAUUAUCUGGCUACUUAAACAAUUUUAAUGCUAACGUCGUCUUUCGGCCUUGCUAACCCGUUUUUUUACCUUAAUCUCGUAUCGUAAUUCGUGUCCGGGUAUGUAGGAUAGGUGCCUAAAUCAGCAAUAGAGUCUUCAAAGACACCUAGCGCAACCAGAGCAUCACGAACUUCCAAAGCUAACAUUCCCCGCAAGUUCGAGAAAAUAAAAUACCAGUACCAAGGAGGAGUCAAGGAGUCAAAGGUCUAGAGUGUGUAGGACAACAUAGGAGAUACAAACUUGAGACAUAUUGAUAUUCAGGAUUUCAAGAACAGGGUAUACUCUCCUAACGCCUAUGGAAAGCCCAGACGGAUGUUGGAGAGUGGUAUUGCUCAAGUUGCUGGUUUCCCACCGGCCGUGCAGAAUUAUGAACUAGUGAUUGAAGCCGCUAAGUACUAUCAACCGGAAACCAGAUUAGUGGUACUAAAAGGAAUGGUAAUGGUCGACUUCACACUUGAGGCCAUUGGGGAAACAUUUGAUAUCUCGCUUCCUGAUAGUCCCAUUGUCGUGACCAUUGAUGAAGCCCAAAUUGCCUAUGACAAGAAUCCUGUUCCGUGUAAAACACUGAUCAAUGAAGAGUGGUUCAAGGAAAGAGGACCCCCGAGCACUAGGAUCAGUAAAAAGACCACCAGAAGCGAUUUCCACAAUGAGUAUGGUGAUAUGGCUACCUUGCUCAGCCGGGUUAUGGGACUUCUGCAAUCCAACCUCUUUGAGGAAUGGAUGUUCUACUUCAUCGAGCGAUUUCGCUGGAAAUCUAAGAUUGACUGGGCUCAAAUUAUCAGCAAUAACAUCCAUACACAACUGGUUGAGCUCGAAGAGAAGAAGUACUUCGCUACGACCUCUUACCUGGUCUAUAUGUUUGCUCAACAUCAGCCGUUGCUAGGAUUAAUCAAGAGAGGUGAGAUUGGGAACAGACCGAAUCAGGUGAAAGUGUACGACUGCUAUCCUCAGUUGCAUUACUAUGACAUAGCUCAAAGAGAAAAGAAUAACAUUGCAUAUGCGAUUGGUUAGUACGAGCGUGUGAAUGACGCUUUUGCAAUGUGCCUGGUCAGAUUAAUGCAAGGAGGAUUGCACAUAAGGCUGUCAAAGCAGGUUGCCACCCUGAUUCGGAAAUACGGUGCAUGGUUCAUCCAGUUCCCCAGAUUCACCUACAUCAGAAUGGCAGGCUUUGAGGGAACACCGUAUCGGCUUCCGCGUUACCCAUCAGAUAGGUUAGUCCUCAUGGAGGUGGCAAGGCAGGCACACCCAGCAGGGAACAUACUCAGGGACAAAAACCAGUCAGGAUUCACCUUCCCUAUGAUCAUAGGUAACCAUGAUGUUCACUUCAAGAAUUCGGUGCAAGCUAAAGAGUCAUUCGUCGAGUUAGCAUCCUAUUACUUACAGGAGCAUCAUUUCCCUAGGAAAUGCUUUGAUCAUGAUGGAUUGGGAAAGAAGGCUUACAACAAGCAUUGCAAGGCCAAGGCAUCAAUAGAGGACUAUUGGAGCAAUUGUUCAGAUGACUUUGAGGUCCGUCGGCGGGAAUAUUCAAGGUUGAGUGUUCAAUAAAUGCGACUUUAUGAGUACCAAUAGGUUCCGGAUCAGGUAACAAACUAUGGAAAUUGCUUGCAAGUCCGAGAAUUUGAAACAAUCAAGGACCUCUUGCCAGCCAUUGAUUGGACUCAAGACCCUAUCACAGAUUUUGAAGUUGUCAUGGAGGGUCGAAGAAGGUACAUAGAUAACUGGCUAUCCCAACAAAUAGAGAGGCUAACCCAUGAAGGAACUCAAUUCACAUACAAUUUAAUGGGUAGUCUCGAUUCCCAGUCUUCAGAAGACGAAGAAACCUCAAGCGUGCCAAACGAAGAGGUUGAGAAACCUAAAAAAAAGAGAAAGAAGGCAAGAGCCAAUAGGGGGACUCAGACAUCAAAAAGAACAAGAAGAGAAAAGAUGCCAAUCAGGUGUCCAGAGGUUACUUCCUCAUCUAAGGACCCUAGUUCAGAAGAUGAUGUGGUUGAACUUGAUCACAUGCCAACUCCACCUCCACAAUGAUCCCAUUGCAUCAGAAGCAAAUAAUCGACAAAUACAAAAUGAGCAAGAAGUAGAGGCAAGGAUCAUUGGUUUGGAUGGACUUGAGAAUCAGGUCGAGGAAGGACAAAUUGCACCUGAUCAAGGGAUUGGUAAACAAGAGCUCAUGCAAGAGAGUAGGCAUGAGUUGCAACACGAAGGCAGCAACAAGGAUGACGCCACGGUUGUAGGAGAAAGGGAAGAAGAUAGAACCCAAGAACCCAACAAAACUGAAGAACAACCACUAUUAGAGGAUACCCAUCAGUUACUCAGUGAGGUGGGAGAAAAAUCAACCAUGAGUAAAGGAUUAAAUACUGCACCCAUUCCUCCUUUUGUGUCCGAUCAGUUGCAGAUAGGCAGUGGAUCAGCUGGGGCAUCUAAACAAUAGCGUGGGGAUUUACUAGUCACAUUUGAGCAAACCAUUCCUCAUAACUGGUUGAUAGCCCGGGCACAACAAAAAGUGGUUGUCAAGCCACCAAUUAACCUAGAGGAUAUCUUCUCCCGGAUAGGAGAAAUAAAAACUAAAGGAAAGAAAAAGCCAAAGAUUUACUCCAAGAUUACCAAAGAUGAGCAAAGGAAUCGUAUGAUUCAUAUUGCUGUCCCACUUGGAGACAAACCAACAGAUCAGGUUGCAUUGGCUAACUAUAGCACCACGUCCAUCCCAAUAGGGCGAGCAACCAAAGAUGUAAUAUCCUUUGCCCAAACUGAUUGAUUUUGGCUCAAGGAAUAUUGUCAAACACUUUGUAUGUUGUCUUUCUCUAUUCUGAUUUUUGUAUUUCAGAUUGUUUGAUACACUUUGAAAGUUGCCAAGAAAUUUAGGAAGUUCACCAAUGAUGUUGACAAUACCUCUUACAAUGAACUAGUAUGGGAGUGCAGUUCUUUUUGGUAUUUUCAAUGCAUAUACAUGAAAACUAGAUAUGGAAUGCAUACCUACAGCCAACUAACAUUUCGACAAAAAACUGGCAUGCAACUAUUAUGCUGAUCAUAUAUGCUAUUAACAGGACAUUUCGCCAAACAAAUGGUAUGCAACAUAUAUCUUCUUUAUUGAAUUCAUUCCUAAGUACAAUGCUGCUAUGGAUUUGCCAAGACUAAUUGGCUUACAAAAAAGACUACAGCAAUGCCAAAUCUGAUUCUAAGUUAUCACUUACAACAGCAAAAUUAUAUGCCUAAGAUUUCAAUACUAGCUACUAAUAUUUGCAAGAGGAACCUGGUAAUAGUGAUGCUCGAUGAUGGAGAUGAAAGUUGCAAUCGGAAUCAAGCACAAAUAUUGUAGCGUGGCACUGUUCAUGGGUACUGUUCAUGCGCACUGUUCACGGGUACUGUUCAUGCAUACUGUAGCAGCAAGAACAAACUUUUAAAAGAACGAUUACUAAUGGCUGCCAAUGAAUCUUCAGGUCUGCACUCGAUAGUCCUCAAUAUUCUUCAAACCCUUUCUGUUAUUCCUUUACUUUAAGCACAAAUAGAACUCUAGAGUGAAGCUCUCCUGAAAUGCCAAAUUCAGUGGAUAUUUCACCACCUCAAAUGGUUGCAACACUGAAGAAUUGACGUUCUCCAAUGGCUAACUGAAAUCAGAAACCCUUGGCUUCUUCUCCUAAUUUCAUAUCAAAUGCAAUUGACAAUAAUCCAAUGAUAAGAAAAGAACGUCUCAUGUUAAUUUAUUCUUUCCUUGUAGGAGCUCACUUACUUUUCUUCCCAAUGUGGGAUAAAAUAUUUUCUUAUAUUUGCACCUUAUAAUAUUAAAGUGACUUUAUUAUUAUAAGUUACUUUAUAACUUUAUAAUAACAUUAAAAUAUUUAAAUAAAUCACUUAAGUCACUUAAACUUUAAUAUCUCUUGAAAUACUUGUCAGAUUGCUAUGCCGUCUGAAAUAGGAAUCUCUCCUCAUAAUUCCCCAUGUGACCAAACACACUUUCUAAAAAUAGAAGGGUCCAUCUCUAUUACCCCUGACUUACUAUACAUAGUAAGUAUGGCAAAUGGAGUCCAAAUGAUAUCGAACAAAGGCCAAUUCCCUGAAUGUUGGAGAAGAAUCAAUCCUCAGAAGACCCUCUAACCAUCCACAUUAGCCUACGAGGGUCCAAUUAUAGGCUAAUCAUUGGCUAGCAUGAUGUCACUAGCUAGAAGGGGACAUCACAAAAGAGCAGGAGAGGGAAGAAUUUAAGGAUUCCGUACAAAAUAUGCUCAGACAACUAGAUGAAAUGACUGCUGAGAGGGAUAUGUACCGAGCUCGUGCUGAACAAGCCGAGGGGUACAUAGAUCACCUGUUGAGACCGCUGCAUCAUACCGUUGAGUCCCAUGUUCCUCCAAUGGCGUUGGCACAAAAGACUACGACUGAGUUCGAAGGAGUGCGUGACACCGCCAAGGCCGUUAGAAAAUGGAUCCGGGACAUUUAAACAAGAGGAAAGAAGAUUAUUGAUGAUAUAUUUGAAGUAACACUCAAAAUACAUGCAGCUCGAAUAAAGAUAAUAGAGGUGAAAAAGGAGUAUGCCAAAAUCCAGGAGGCAAUUGGCUUGGCUCAACCACUCAUGAGAGCUCUUUUCUAGACACACACUCAGAUUCCCACACUACACACUAUCCUGGACCCCUAUGAUAUCAAUACUUUCAAGGAGUGGUUCUGGAUUCUCAACAUGAAAAUGGACAUGGCGGGCGUCAUCAGAAAAACGUAGGAGAAAUGUGAAGAUGACUUAUUUGGUAUUGAGAGCAUUGGUGAGGACAUCCUUAUGGCAUUAGUAAUUGGUUGGAAGGAUACCAUGGGGGAUGCUGAUGUGGUAUCACAAUGGAAUGCUAGGUUAAAGGCUGAUAAAACUACGUACUCUGUGGAAGACUUUGAGUGUAUUGGCAGGCUGCAUGCAGACAUACUGCGUUUUAGUAAUCAUCAAUCUCAGUGGCGCGAGCAACUAAGGGUGGUGGACACUCAUCUGGAGGGCGUGCGGUUCAAAAUGUGCCAUCCUCCCUUUCCCUCAAAUAAAGGGUUGUUCCCUGUUUGCAUAAGGUUUCAAGAAUAUGUUCGGGAAGAGCGCGUGGCAAACUAAGACAUCUGGGAAGAGUAGUUGGCAAGGAAUUUGAAUUUUUGGAAAAGUAGUCUACCUCGGGGAAGGAAAAAGUGCUUUCUUGAAAGUAUUUGUUUCUUUUUAAUUUUAAGUGCACUUUUUCAGGAUAAAGUUUUUUUCCAACUACCAAAGUCGUCAUAAAUUUUUGAGUUCCGUGCAAGUGCACUUUUUGGAGCAACUUUAUGUUUGGUAGUUGGUAGUUAUUAGUUAGUUGGUGGUUGGUGAUGAUAUUUUGUUAUCCAUUAAUGGGUAUGGGCAGCCAUGUUUUAUAGGAUGAAUCUGGGCCACUUGUGAGAUUAGAUCUUGACCAUUCAUCCAUUUUUGAAAGCCUAUAUAAGGGAUGGUUUCUCCCUUAUUUUUUUUUAGUAAGAAAUCUUGGAUUGUUGUAGAAACUCUGCAGAAAUACAUUCAGACUUAAUGAAGAUUAAUGUUGUUAUUGUUUCAUGUGAGUGCAUGGUCUAUUUCUUCACUUUUUGAAUUUAUGUUAUGCAUUUUGUUUUACAAAAUAAUAUGUGCAAGUUGAUAUUUGAUAGAAAUCUUAGUUCAUACAAUUAAGGAUUGGCUGAUUGCCAAUUCUUCUGCAUGGUUAGUUUGAACUCACUAGUAUGCUUAGUUCGGUUAUUUAACAUGGAAUGUGUGAAUGUCUUAAAUUCAGCGUUUAUGUUUAAUAACAUGAAAGUCUGUUUCCCCUUUGGAGAUUGCAUCAAUUUUAUCUAGUUGUGUGAAUUAUUGGCUAAAUAAAAUUUGAUUAUUGCAAGGUUUCUGUCUAUUAGCUUGAAUGUUUUAUUUUUAGGUAGAAGUAAUUAGCAUCAUCCUUCCCCUUUUUACCUCUUUUUCCUUUUUUAAAAAUAAAUCUGAAAGUAAAGUAUCCAUGGCAGCAUCAAACAUACUACAGAAUCAGAUGAAUCAAUUCAUAGAGUCUAGGGGAAAUCUCGUCUAAGACCUUUCCAUUCAAAUCCAUCCACAAACAUCAGUUCCCUUUGUGUUGCUUGCAAAACACAUCAAAUCGUUGAGCUAUCCUACAGUCAAGACCUGACAACCAAAACAUUGAGGUCAAGCCCAUAUGAUCAAACCAAAUAGCAUUAGGAAUUUCCUUAUUUCAAGAGAGGAUAGGAUAUUCGACAUUCUAUUUUGUGUUGGCCGGAGAGAGUUGUAGCGAUACGACCUUCGACACGUCAACAAUACCCUUCCAUGUUUUUUACACCAUGUGCACAUUGCCUUGAUCUAACCCUAGAGGACAUUGGAAAAAUUGAAUGGGUUAAGGCAACAUUUUAGAAGGCUCACAAGGUUACCAAAUUUGUUUAUAAUCACAUGAGGGUUUUGGCUAUAAUGCACUCUUUCAUAGGAGGCAAAGAGCUAGUUUGACCAGGGGUGAAAAGAUUUGCAACAUAUUUCCUUGCAUUACAAACAUUACGUGAACAAAAAAGUAAUUUGAGACAAAUGUUUGUUUCAGCUGAGUGGAUGGAGUCUAGUUUCACAAUUCAAACAAAUGGCAUAGUAGUGGUAAGAGUAUAUGUAUUCUACCACCUUUUGGGAAUUGUAAUAAACCCCCUUAAUUUUUUUUUGAGUUUUCAAUGAUAUUACAAAGCAAACACGAUAAACCGUUAAGGUUAGAGAAAUAAUCCAAAACAAUUGAAAGGGAACCCUUCCACCAUUUGUUCAUCGAGAGCCCAAUUUGGGAGGGUGAGAGCAUACGGUGUUCCGGGGAUUGUUAGCACCAUAAACCGAACUGAAAUUACAAUGCACGAGCGGCAAGCCAGCCCCUUAUGCUUAUCCAGUAGGAUAGAAUUUGAACUUCUUGGAGGUAAACCAGCCAAGGAAAACAACAAGAAAUUUAAACACAAUCACUAACGCGUAUUUCAGCGGGAGGAUAAUACAUAAAACUAUCACUCUACCACAUAUUUCCUCAGGACGACAAUAAAUAAAACUAUCACUCUACCACAUAUUUCAGCAGGAGGACAAUAUCACUCAACCACUUAUUCAGUGGGAGGACAAAGGUUACAAACUGAAAUUUCAAACACUAAGGCGACCCAGCCAACCUCUUCCACUUAUGCAAUGGGGAUUACAAUGCACACUUCAAGUUCAAAUAUAGAGGUUAGUACUACUAACCAAUGAUACAAGGAUGAUUACAAUGAAGUAUUACAAGAUUACAAUAAUUAACUAUAGCUGAUUUCAAGCCACUAACACAAAAUAACAAGUCUGAUAUAAAAUAACAACAAUUCCAGAACUGGACCAGCAAUACUUGUAAAUGCUCACAAAUCAUUCCAAUCCACUUUAAAACACACCAAAAUUGAAGCAAAUGAAAUCAACAACUAAGGCGAUCAACCUCAAACCUCAAACCAACACAAUGAAAGCUUCAACAUUGAUGCACGCAACCCGAGGCACCUCCCAAAUGGUAUGACCUGCUAUAGAUUUCGAUUUGCAACCAAAAAUCACUAACACCACAUCCCAAUCUGCAAAUCAGUGAAGAAUAUUGCCGAGGGAGAAUGGUGAGAUAGAGCCAGUACCCAGAAUGCAACGACCAACAGGUAGGGAGAUAUGAAUAAAACCUUGCUUUAGCUACCACGUCCAGCAACACCAAAAAACACAGCAGCAAACAAAUUCUCCAAAUCCACACAAAACGCAAUCCACAAGAACACCAAGCAAACCACAAAGUCAAACCACAGCUAGGAGUGAUGUCUCACACUCGAAACGGCAAAGGAAAAUCUAGGAGGUUUUCACCCUCGAAGAAGUCUGUAGUCAUUCCGAUAGCAUAACAUUAUAAUUUAUCUGGACGAUGAAAUGAGGAGCCAAGCACCUGUAUAAAUAGAUUUCCAAGUCUGAAAUUCAGAUUCAAAUGCCUCCAAAUUCACCCCUUCAAUUUUGCAUUUCAUUUCUAAGGUGGACCCAAGUAUGGCGUCCCCCUUAAGUCAAAGCCACGCUUAGCAAGAGGACCACGAUUUUUGGCAUAAAAAAAAACACUUUGUUGAAUAAAAUAGUCUUCAUAUUCACUUUGGCGUCCCCCUUCAUAACACAAAUAUUUCGCCUAGCAAACUUAGGAAAAUCAUAUUAUGCACAAUUCUCAAUAGCAUUAAUCAGUAAUAAAAUAAUUAAAUAUUAAACCCUAGGAUAAUAAAAUAAUAUUUAAUUAAAAAACUUAUAACUCUAAUACUAAUUAUCAUCAAAAUUAAGGAUGAAACUGUGCGAUGAAAACCACUGAACUGGAUCAGAACUCUAUCCAAGACUGCCAAAAAUAGAAAUGCUCAAACUGCCACUUGCUAAAAAUAGUAAGUCAUGAAAUACUGCUCCGAAACGCAUGAUAUUCGCACCCAAAGAAAGAGCUUGGAAAGCUUAGUAAAACUGCACCAUCCAGUCAGCCAAACCCUAACUUACUAAAAAUAGUAAGUUCACACUUCACCUUAGAAUCAAUUGUAUGUUAUGCCACCCUAGAGUUCAUGGAAAACCCAGAAGGAAACCAUAAGCAGAUCUGAAGAAUUCCCUGCUGAAAAACCCUAAAAAGCUCAUGCAAAACUCCGCAAAAGUUGGAAACCCUAAUUCUCCUUUCCAAAUACCCUACAGGUCUCCGGAAUAUGCCACUUGGCCACUGAAAGAACAUCACUGAGAAGGGGACAUUACAAGAAUCUAUUGAACAGAUUGUAGAGUUUUCAAAGCCUUUAGUAAAAGUCUUGAGACUAGUGGAUGGGGAUAAACCCCCCAUGGGAUAUGUGUAUGAGGCCAUGGAUAGGGCCAAGGAGGUGAUAAGGAGUAAGCUGGAAAAUAAUAGGGAUAGGUAUAUGUCGUUGUGGGACAUAAUUGAUAGGAGGUGGGAUGGACAGAUGCACACUCCUCUCCAUGCUCCGGGAUACUUGCUCAAUCCUUUGUUAUUCUAUAAGACCGACUUCAUGGAAAUUGAUGCUGAGAGCAAACAAGGCUUCUUCAAGUGCAUGGAGAAAAUGUUGCCUAACCCGGAAAAAUUUGAUGCAGCUACGAUAGAGUUGGAAGUGUACAAGCAUGCUAACGAUUCAACCAGCUUCGUGGUGGGCUUCUUUUGGAGACGAAAUACCCAAUUUAAGGUGGAUGGCAGUGCGCAUUUUAAGCCAACUAUGCAGCUCAUCAGCUUGUGAGAGUAAUUGGAGUGUUUUCAAACACAUACAUUCCAAGAAACGGAACCGCCUAUCACAAAAACGGCCGAAUGACUUGGUAUUUGUUCAUCACAACCUCCACUUGAAGAUAAAGAAAGCUCAUGGAACUAUUGAGGAAGGCUUGCCAAUUGACCUCGAUGAGAUAUAUCCAGAGUGUGAGUUGAUUGUUGUUGAUGAUGCUGCUGAUGAUGAUGAUGAUGAUGUUGCUGAUCGUCUGCUUGAGACUGAAGAUUUUGAUAUCACGAGGCAAGCCAACUUUGGUCCUCAAUGGGUUGAACGAAUUAGGAUAGGCUCUCACCCAGAAGCUUCAUCAUCAAGGCCUCCUGCCCUCUAGCAUGUCAUUGCCUACAUUUGAUAUUUUGGAAUUUUGUACUUAGUGCACAGGUUGACUUUGUUCAAAGUCACAAACUAUAUUGUAAUUGACAUUUUGACAUCUAUCACCAU